GACAGCAGUCGCCGCGGUAAUACGGAGGGUGCAAGCGUUAAUCGGAAUUACUGGGCGUAAAGCGCACGCAGGCGGUCUGACAAGUCAGAUGUGAAAUCCCCGGGCUUAACCUGGGAACUGCAUUUGAAACUGUCAGGCUGGAGUCUUGUAGAGGGGGGUAGAAUUCCAGGUGUAGCGGUGAAAUGCGUAGAGAUCUGGAGGAAUACCGGUGGCGAAGGCGGCCCCCUGGACAAAGACUGACGCUCAGGUGCGAAAGCGUGGGGAGCAAACAGGAUUAGAUACCCCUGUAGUCCCUGUCUCUUAUAC
rnacentral:rRNA from 1 species